rnacentral:snRNA from 1 species
GUGCUCCCUUCAUCAGCGCACAUGUUAAAACUGGAACAAUACAGAGAAGAUUAGCAUGGCUCCUGCAUAAGGAUGACACACAAGUUCAUGAAGCUUUCCAUAUUUUU